UGUUCCAGAAUAAUCGGCUAGACUUUAUAGGCUUGUACUCUAAUUGUUGUUAAUCUUAAAUUUUUAAAAAUUUUGUACUUUCGGCUUUUUGGUGAAAUUAAGGGUUUUAUUUAGAUGUGUUUAAGAUUUUAAAAUUUAGUGACCGAACCAGAUUAGUACCUGGUUAGAUAAAAAUUAAAAGGGCAGGAGUAAAGUUGAAUUUAAACUGUAAUAAUAUUGGCAGGCUUUUAAAUUAUCUUUGGAGGCUGAGUAGUAAUUGAGAGCCCUCAUUUACAACUUUUGUUUUUGGCUCAUGUAUGAUCGUUUAUUUUAUUCUUAAGGAUUGUAAUUUUAGUUUUUAUCUGUUAAAAUAGAUAUAUACUUGGUUUAUACAAGAGAUUAAUUUGGCCUACAAUGUUUUAAUUUUUGGAUAGUACUAGUAGUUAGUGUAUGAAAUUGUAAAAGACAGUAAGUUACUUUUAAUAUGGGGCUGAAGUUUAUUUAAAAGCGGUACAAAUCAUCCAUCAAUUGCCCAUAGGGGAGUAAGUUGUAGUAA
rnacentral:ncRNA from 1 species